GGUUAAGCGACUAAGCGUACACGGUGGAUGCCCUGGCAGUCAGAGGCGAUGAAGGACGUGCUAAUCUGCGAAAAGCGUCGGUAAGGUGAUAUGAACCGUUACAGCCGGCGAUGUCCGAAUGGGGAAACCCAGUGCAAUUCGUUGCACUAUCGUUAACUGAAUACAUAGGUUAACGAGGCGAACCGGGGGAACUGAAACAUCUAAGUACCCCGAGGAAAAGAAAUCAACCGAGAUUCCCCCAGUAGCGGCGAGCGAACGGGGAGCAGCCCAGAGUCUGAAUCAGCUUGUGUGUUAGUGGAACGGUCUGGAAAGUCCGACGGUACAGGGUGAUAGUCCCGUACACCAAAAUGCACAGGUUGUGAACUCGAAGAGUAGGGCGGGACACGUGGUAUCCUGUCUGAAUAUGGGGGGACCAUCCUCCAAGGCUAAAUACUCCUGACUGACCGAUAGUGAACCAGUACCGUGAGGGAAAGGCGAAAAGAACCCCGGCGAGGGGAGUGAAAAAGAACCUGAAACCGUGUACGUACAAGCAGUGGGAGCACCUUCGGGUGUGACUGCGUACCUUUUGUAUAAUGGGUCAGCGACUUAUAUUCUGUAGCAAGGUUAACCGUAUAGGGGAGCCGCAGGGAAACCGAGUCUUAACUGGGCGUUAAGUUGCAGGGUAUAGACCCGAAACCCGGUGAUCUAGCCAUGGGCAGGUUGAAGGUUGGGUAACACUAACUGGAGGACCGAACCGACUAAUGUUGAAAAAUUAGCGGAUGACUUGUGGCUGGGGGUGAAAGGCCAAUCAAACCGGGAGAUAGCUGGUUCUCCCCGAAAGCUAUUUAGGUAGCGCCUCGUGAAUUCAUCUUCGGGGGUAGAGCACUGUUUCGGCUAGGGGGUCAUCCCGACUUACCAACCCGAUGCAAACUACGAAUACCGAAGAAUGUUAUCACGGGAGACACACGGCGGGUGCUAACGUCCGUCGUGAAGAGGGAAACAACCCAGACCGCCAGCUAAGGUCCCAAAGUCAUGGUUAAGUGGGAAACGAUGUGGGAAGGCACAGACAGCCAGGAUGUUGGCUUAGAAGCAGCCAUCAUUUAAAGAAAGCGUAAUAGCUCACUGGUCGAGUCGGCCUGCGCGGAAGAUGUAACGGGGCUAAACCAUGCACCGAAGCUGCGGCAGCGACACUAUGUGUUGUUGGGUAGGGGAGCGUUCUGUAAGCCUGCGAAGGUGACCUGUGAGGGUUGCUGGAGGUAUCAGAAGUGCGAAUGCUGACAUAAGUAACGAUAAAGCGGGUGAAAAGCCCGCUCGCCGGAAGACCAAGGGUUCCUGUCCAACGUUAAUCGGGGCAGGGUGAGUCGACCCCUAAGGCGAGGCCGAAAGGCGUAGUCGAUGGGAAACAGGUUAAUAUUCCUGUACUUGGUGUUACUGCGAAGGGGGGACGGAGAAGGCUAUGUUAGCCGGGCGACGGUUGUCCCGGUUUAAGCAUGUAGGCUGGUUAUCCAGGCAAAUCCGGAUAAUCAAGGCUGAGGUGUGAUGACGAGGCACUACGGUGCUGAAGUAACAAAUGCCCUGCUUCCAGGAAAAGCCUCUAAGCAUCAGGUAACAUCAAAUCGUACCCCAAACCGACACAGGUGGUCAGGUAGAGAAUACCAAGGCGCUUGAGAGAACUCGGGUGAAGGAACUAGGCAAAAUGGUGCCGUAACUUCGGGAGAAGGCACGCUGGUGUGUAGGUGAAGCCCCUGCGGGUGGAGCUGAGACCAGUCGAAGAUACCAGCUGGCUGCAACUGUUUAUUAAAAACACAGCACUGUGCAAACACGAAAGUGGACGUAUACGGUGUGACGCCUGCCCGGUGCCGGAAGGUUAAUUGAUGGGGUUAUCCGUAAGGAGAAGCUCUUGAUCGAAGCCCCGGUAAACGGCGGCCGUAACUAUAACGGUCCUAAGGUAGCGAAAUUCCUUGUCGGGUAAGUUCCGACCUGCACGAAUGGCGUAAUGAUGGCCAGGCUGUCUCCACCCGAGACUCAGUGAAAUUGAACUCGCUGUGAAGAUGCAGUGUACCCGCGGCAAGACGGAAAGACCCCGUGAACCUUUACUAUAGCUUGACACUGAACAUUGAGCCUUGAUGUGUAGGAUAGGUGGGAGGCUUUGAAGCGUGGACGCCAGUCUGCGUGGAGCCAACCUUGAAAUACCACCCUUUAAUGUUUGAUGUUCUAACGUUGGCCCCUGACCGGGGUUGCGGACAGUGUCUGGUGGGUAGUUUGACUGGGGCGGUCUCCUCCCAAAGCGUAACGGAGGAGCACGAAGGUUAGCUAAUCCUGGUCGGACAUCAGGAGGUUAGUGCAAUGGCAUAAGCUAGCUUGACUGCGAGCGUGACGGCGCGAGCAGGUGCGAAAGCAGGUCAUAGUGAUCCGGUGGUUCUGAAUGGAAGGGCCAUCGCUCAACGGAUAAAAGGUACUCCGGGGAUAACAGGCUGAUACCGCCCAAGAGUUCAUAUCGACGGCGGUGUUUGGCACCUCGAUGUCGGCUCAUCACAUCCUGGGGCUGAAGUAGGUCCCAAGGGUAUGGCUGUUCGCCAUUUAAAGUGGUACGCGAGCUGGGUUUAGAACGUCGUGAGACAGUUCGGUCCCUAUCUGCCGUGGGCGCUGGAGAAUUGAGGGGGGCUGCUCCUAGUACGAGAGGACCGGAGUGGACGCAUCACUGGUGUUCGGGUUGUCAUGCCAAUGGCACUGCCCGGUAGCUAAAUGCGGAAGAGAUAAGUGCUGAAAGCAUCUAAGCACGAAACUUGCCCCGAGAUGAGUUCUCCCUGAGACUUUAAGUCUCCUGAAGGAACGUUAAAGACGAUGACGUUGAUAGGCCGGGUGUGUAAGCGCAGCGAUGCGUUGAGCUAACCGGUACUAAUGAACCGUGAGGCUUAACCUU
rnacentral:rRNA from 1 species